rnacentral:tRNA from 1 species
GGGGUUGUAGCUCAGUGGUAGAGUGCUUGCCUAGCAUGUAUGAGGCACUGGGUUCAAUUCUCAGCACCA